GGGUUGUGAGGUUAAGCGACUAAGCGUACACGGUGGAUGCCCUGGCAGUCAGAGGCGAUGAAGGACGUGCUAAUCUGCGAUAAGCGUCGGUAAGGUGAUAUGAACCGUUAUAACCGGCGAUUUCCGAAUGGGGAAACCCAGUGUGUUUCGACACACUAUCAUUAACUGAAUCCAUAGGUUAAUGAGGCGAACCGGGGGAACUGAAACAUCUAAGUACCCCGAGGAAAAGAAAUCAACCGAGAUUCCCCCAGUAGCGGCGAGCGAACGGGGAGCAGCCCAGAGCCUGAAUCAGUGUGUGUGUUAGUGGAAGCGUCUGGAAAGGCGCGCGAUACAGGGUGACAGCCCCGUACACAAAAAUGCACAUGCUGUGAGCUCGAUGAGUAGGGCGGGACACGUGGUAUCCUGUCUGAAUAUGGGGGGACCAUCCUCCAAGGCUAAAUACUCCUGACUGACCGAUAGUGAACCAGUACCGUGAGGGAAAGGCGAAAAGAACCCCGGCGAGGGGAGUGAAAAAGAACCUGAAACCGUGUACGUACAAGCAGUGGGAGCACGCUUCGGCGUGUGACUGCGUACCUUUUGUAUAAUGGGUCAGCGACUUAUAUUCUGUAGCAAGGUUAACCGAAUAGGGGAGCCGAAGGGAAACCGAGUCUUAACUGGGCGUUAAGUUGCAGGGUAUAGACCCGAAACCCGGUGAUCUAGCCAUGGGCAGGUUGAAGGUUGGGUAACACUAACUGGAGGACCGAACCGACUAAUGUUGAAAAAUUAGCGGAUGACUUGUGGCUGGGGGUGAAAGGCCAAUCAAACCGGGAGAUAGCUGGUUCUCCCCGAAAGCUAUUUAGGUAGCGCCUCGUGAAUUCAUCUCCGGGGGUAGAGCACUGUUUCGGCAAGGGGGUCAUCCCGACUUACCAACCCGAUGCAAACUGCGAAUACCGGAGAAUGUUAUCACGGGAGACACACGGCGGGUGCUAACGUCCGUCGUGAAGAGGGAAACAACCCAGACCGCCAGCUAAGGUCCCAAAGUCAUGGUUAAGUGGGAAACGAUGUGGGAAGGCCCAGACAGCCAGGAUGUUGGCUUAGAAGCAGCCAUCAUUUAAAGAAAGCGUAAUAGCUCACUGGUCGAGUCGGCCUGCGCGGAAGAUGUAACGGGGCUAAACCAUGCACCGAAGCUGCGGCAGCGACGCUUAUGCGUUGUUGGGUAGGGGAGCGUUCUGUAAGCCUGCGAAGGUGUGCUGUGAGGCAUGCUGGAGGUAUCAGAAGUGCGAAUGCUGACAUAAGUAACGAUAAAGCGGGUGAAAAGCCCGCUCGCCGGAAGACCAAGGGUUCCUGUCCAACGUUAAUCGGGGCAGGGUGAGUCGACCCCUAAGGCGAGGCCGAAAGGCGUAGUCGAUGGGAAACAGGUUAAUAUUCCUGUACUUGGUGUUACUGCGAAGGGGGGACGGAGAAGGCUAUGUUGGCCGGGCGACGGUUGUCCCGGUUUAAGCGUGUAGGCUGGUUUUCCAGGCAAAUCCGGAAAAUCAAGGCUGAGGCGUGAUGACGAGGCACUACGGUGCUGAAGCAACAAAUGCCCUGCUUCCAGGAAAAGCCUCUAAGCAUCAGGUAACAUCAAAUCGUACCCCAAACCGACACAGGUGGUCAGGUAGAGAAUACCAAGGCGCUUGAGAGAACUCGGGUGAAGGAACUAGGCAAAAUGGUGCCGUAACUUCGGGAGAAGGCACGCUGAUAUGUAGGUGAAGUCCCUCGCGGAUGGAGCUGAAAUCAGUCGAAGAUACCAGCUGGCUGCAACUGUUUAUUAAAAACACAGCACUGUGCAAACACGAAAGUGGACGUAUACGGUGUGACGCCUGCCCGGUGCCGGAAGGUUAAUUGAUGGGGUUAGCCGCAAGGCGAAGCUCUUGAUCGAAGCCCCGGUAAACGGCGGCCGUAACUAUAACGGUCCUAAGGUAGCGAAAUUCCUUGUCGGGUAAGUUCCGACCUGCACGAAUGGCGUAAUGAUGGCCAGGCUGUCUCCACCCGAGACUCAGUGAAAUUGAACUCGCUGUGAAGAUGCAGUGUACCCGCGGCAAGACGGAAAGACCCCGUGAACCUUUACUAUAGCUUGACACUGAACAUUGAGCCUUGAUGUGUAGGAUAGGUGGGAGGCUUUGAAGUGUGGACGCCAGUCUGCAUGGAGCCGACCUUGAAAUACCACCCUUUAAUGUUUGAUGUUCUAACGUUGACCCGUAAUCCGGGUUGCGGACAGUGUCUGGUGGGUAGUUUGACUGGGGCGGUCUCCUCCUAAAGAGUAACGGAGGAGCACGAAGGUUGGCUAAUCCUGGUCGGACAUCAGGAGGUUAGUGCAAUGGCAUAAGCCAGCUUGACUGCGAGCGUGACGGCGCGAGCAGGUGCGAAAGCAGGUCAUAGUGAUCCGGUGGUUCUGAAUGGAAGGGCCAUCGCUCAACGGAUAAAAGGUACUCCGGGGAUAACAGGCUGAUACCGCCCAAGAGUUCAUAUCGACGGCGGUGUUUGGCACCUCGAUGUCGGCUCAUCACAUCCUGGGGCUGAAGUAGGUCCCAAGGGUAUGGCUGUUCGCCAUUUAAAGUGGUACGCGAGCUGGGUUUAGAACGUCGUGAGACAGUUCGGUCCCUAUCUGCCGUGGGCGCUGGAGAACUGAGGGGGGCUGCUCCUAGUACGAGAGGACCGGAGUGGACGCAUCACUGGUGUUCGGGUUGUCAUGCCAAUGGCACUGCCCGGUAGCUAAAUGCGGAAGAGAUAAGUGCUGAAAGCAUCUAAGCACGAAACUUGCCCCGAGAUGAGUUCUCCCUGACCCUUUAAGGGUCCUGAAGGAACGUUGAAGACGACGACGUUGAUAGGCCGGGUGUGUAAGCGCAGCGAUGCGUUGAGCUAACCGGUACUAAUGAACCGUGAGGCUUAACCUUACAACGCCGAAG
rnacentral:rRNA from 1 species